UACGUAGGUGGCAAGCGUUGUCCGGAUUUAUUGGGUUUAAAGGGUGCGUAGGCGGCCAAUUAAGUCAGUGCUGAAAUACUCUAGCUUAACUAGAGGGGUGGCAUUGAUACUGAUUGGCUUGAGUGAAGUCGAAGUAGGCGGAAUUGACGGUGUAGCGGUGAAAUGCUUAGAUAUCGUCAAGAACACCGAUAGUGAAGACAGCUUACUAGACUUCAACUGACGCUGAGGCACGAAAAGUGUGGGGAGUCAAACAGG
rnacentral:rRNA from 1 species